GAUACCAGUCCAGUCACGCCAAUGCUCUGAUAAUUUCGGGGUGUGACAGAUUGGUAUCAGAGCUAUAGGUUACAGCGAACAGGGUUUUCCGUAGGAAUACCUAGGCUCUAACCUCACUAUCCUCUGGGAACUUAGAAUAUUAAAACCUGAAUGCAUACAGAAAGCAUAGUACUCGAAUAUGGUCUCCAACCGUUGCCGAAAAACAAACAGUCAAGAUUUUGUUUUCAAACAUACGCUAAAGUGGUGUUUUACACACGGUACACAAAACAGUCGCAUACAGUACACAAAACUCUGAGAAUUUAAGAAACAUGCAUUUAAGACCUCCGGAAACUCAUGUAGAAGUUCAUUAAAGGUCACCACGUAGGUACCACGUUUAUUAACUCGGACAAACGUCAUUUUUAUGUCAUCUAUGCUAUUUAGCCGAGCAGGUAACCUACGCAAAACGAAGCACGAGCGUGCAAAAUUACACGAAAACUCGAUCAAUGGAGGUUGAAGUAUGUCACAUACGACUAUCAAGGCGAUGCCUUAGAAAGGAUACGAUGGCGUAAUUCAGCAACGACGCUAGAUACUGUCAGCACGAAAACUAUCGAUCAGGAAGCGGCGGUUUGGCACGCGAUCCUGCAAACGACACGAGUCAUGCUAAGGAAAAGACGCAAGUCACCGUAUCCCCCCUAUCCGAAUAAUGACAAGUACGCUAUGUUUGACUCCAUGGUAAUGUCACCUAACAACUGGUCGUCACAUGCAACCCCAGGUAAAGUCCUUAAAUUUCUUUUAUUGAAAUUUCGACUUUCACACUUACUGAGUAGAUUUUAGAAUCUCUACUCCUCUUGAUGGUCAUUGUGUCAUGAUCAUUUCUUCCAGUAUAGCGAAUACCCAUUUGCUUCGUUUCUUGAAAAUUCAUAUGUUACGCAUGCAUCGUUUGUUACGCAUGUGGUUUCGUUUCGAAUAAAGCGUUUCAUUGAAGCUCAAAUAUUGUUUCGCUAAAUCUAAUUGUUGAUUUGUGAUUCGAAUGACCUGCAUCAUUGUAAUUGUUGGCUUCUUCGUUAUCAGGUCAACACGUUUUCUUGAAAUCCCUUUUCCUUUCAAGUUACAUACAUGGUUUUCGUGGUGACCAUGCCGAAAGUUUUCUUGUCAAUACAUGCAAUUAUUGUCGGCUUGCGCCAAAGUCAAAUUCAAUUGUUUGAACUUGUUCAUUUCACAUAUUCAAUUCAAGACAUCAUAUGAUGUAUUGAGAACAUCAUAUUCGAAUUCGUUUUAACAAGCAUUUCAUUGCUCUGAGUCGUAGUAGAUUUGUUUGAUCUACGACUCCAUUAAGUCGUUUGUUGAUUUCGACACCUUGUGAUGUCAGUACAGACUUGUAGCUUGGGCUAAUCAUGAUUGAGCGUUUUAUGCAAAACACAGGUGAUACUUGUUCGAUCACCGCCAUAUUUGAAUUAUUUCAUUCACUACGACACCUUGUGGCGUCAGUAGAACUUUCAGCUUGGGCUGAUCAUGAUCGAGCGUUUAAUGCAAACUAGUACAUUUGAGCUUGUUGAAAUCUAAAUUCAUUGAUUGGGUACAAUCAUUUCUAGAAUUCAUUUACAUCUUGUGAUACAUCCUUGAAUUCACAUCAUUUGAAUAAGUCAUGAUUUGAUUUCAUGAUCGUUCAGUUUAGUACUAUUCACAUUUUCUACGCAUAAUGUAACUCUAAGGAGUUAACGUAGUGUAAAUUUCGAGGACGAAAUUUUAUUAACAGGGGGAGACUGUGACAACCGGUAAUUUACGCCCUUAAUUACGUGAUUAACAGGCGACUAACACGAUAAUAAAUAGUGUUUACGACGCUAACCAGGCCCUUCAAGUGCCCCGGGACGUUUGUUCAGCUAUAUAGUGCGCGUGUGGUGAUUUACAGAAAAUAUACUUAAUAUUACGCGGCAACGGACCGAUACCGUACAAAGUACUGACGACGCCGACAAAUAUGGAUGUUACACGAAUAUUUUAUGCUCAUGGAGUUUGGGUCGCGAUAUCGGGUCUCGUAGGAAUUACGGGCCGCUCACACAUGAGAUGGGCUUGUGGGCCCUGGGCCCAAGCCCAAAACACACAAGCCUAAACCUACAUAUAAUAUAUUAGAUUUUUUUUUCUACAAGACUCUUCUUGUAAAUCUAUCCAAAAUCUCUUCAAGAUCUUAGAAAAAGAAAAUCUUGUCAAAAUCUAAGCAAAAUCUUGACAAAAGAUUGUUGUCUCAAAAGUUUAGAACACACAAGAUUUGUAAGAUAUCUGUUAUCUCUAUAAAUAAGGGGUGUAUCAUCUUUCAUUCACAACACAUACACUCACACAAGAACCCACAGACUUAAAAGUCUGCCCUCUCCUUCUCGGUUACACACACACACAAAUAGAGAACAGGCCUUUCAUCCCCUCUCACCCUCUCGAUUUCAAAAUAAACAAAUUAUAUGUACAAGAUACACACACAUAUGAGAACCCUUCAUUUCUUUGAUCCUCAAAAUAACACCACAGGAACUGAACCCCACCUCCCCUCCAUCUCAGUGCAGACUGAUGACCACAAGGAGGACCGGCGACGGUAGACGGUAGCCGGCACCCCUGUGUUUCCGGCGAGUCCUCUUCCAGGCAACACCCACCCCCACCCCCACCCCCUCGUCUCUGGUCCGACGGCGAAACCGGUGGUUAACCGGCUACUCGGGUCAUUUUCCGGCGACGAAGAUCGGAAGAAAUGAGAGAGGCGAGAAGAGAAAGAGAGAUCUGACGGACAAAGACUCGGACCUCCGGUCGGUCCAUUUAUCCGGCAGUCCAUGACAUUAUCCGUCAAAAUUUCACGGUAAGACUCCUCCUCCCGCGUGCAUCUCCAUUUCUUUUGUUAGAUGACGUUAUUGAGGUCCGCUGAUGAUGAUCGGUUUGUCGGGUUUCGGGUUCGACUCGGUUCUGGUUCGGGACAGCCGUGGCUCCGGCUCGUGUUCGUGUGUUACAGGCUCCGGUUUGGGGUCCAGGUCAACGCUAGUCAAAGGCAGCUUCACAUUCGUUCGGGUCAGCGGGAUCAGGUGUGGUCAAACCCGGUCAAAGGAGGUCAGAGAUGGUCAACUGCAGUGCGGUUCGGGUGCAGGAUUCACCAAGUUUCUAGCUUUCUACUUCAAGUUCUCAUCCCACCUAUACCGUGUUUUUUUUAUAGGCAUGGGUAGGUCGGAUCAUUUCUUUUCACCAACAUUGACUUGCUAGCAUGGGCACGGGACGCAUUAUGGUUGCAUUUCUAAGACAAGGCACGGUUGGAAUAGGAGAACCAUGAAGAGUCGAGUACUUAGUGGCGUUCAAUUUCCUAAAAGACUUAGAUUGUUUGCUUCCGCUGUGCAAUGAAGAUACCAGUCCAGUCACGCCAAUGCUCUGAUAAUUUCGGGGUGUGACACCAUUAGCCCACUAAUGAUGAUUUAGGGUGUUAGUAUUAACUAGUUUAUUAAAUUAGUUAACUAGGUAUUAUGAUAAUAAAAAUAUCGCUAGUUUGUUCGUCGGCUCGAAACCGGACAAUUUGUGAAAGAUGCGUCGUAAUACUAGAAGCUAUGUUUUGGAUAUUCCAUUGAUAUCCCGGGGUUUAUUUAAGGAGUUGGACAUCAUUUACAAGCCUUAUGGACAUUGUAAAAGUUGAAUUUUAGUGUUACGGGCAAUUAUAUUUAUUGCAGUUUA